UCCUCCAUCAUGUUAUUGGCUGGAGUGGGAGCUGUGAGCGGCGUGUUGAUCCUGGCCUUUGUCCUUUUCUGUGUGUAUCGCUCAAAAUAUGGCACAGGGGGAUGUCUGAGAGCAUCUGCAACAGACCACCAGCCUCAGCAGCAAAGCACCAAUCAGAAUUCACCACAAGGCCAGAGAACCAAUCAGAAUUCAGUCCAGGGUCAGAGGUCCAACCAGAAU